AGCGAACGCUGGCGGCAGGCUUAACACAUGCAAGUCGAGCGGGCACUUUCGGGUGUCAGCGGCGGACGGGUGAGUAACGCGUGGGAACGUGCCCUCUGGUUCGGAAUAACUCAGGGAAACUUGAGCUAAUACCGGAUACGCCCUUUUGGGGAAAGGCUUGCUGCCGGAGGAUCGGCCCGCGUCUGAUUAGCUAGUUGGUGAGGUAACGGCUCACCAAGGCGACGAUCAGUAGCUGGUCUGAGAGGAUGAUCAGCCACACUGGGACUGAGACACGGCCCAGACUCCUACGGGAGGAAGCAGUGGGGAAUAUUGGACAAUGGGCGCAAGCCUGAUCCAGCCAUGCCGCGUGAGUGAUCAAGGCCUUAGGGUUGUAAAGCUCUUUUAUCCGGGACGAUAAUGACGGUACCGGAGGAAUAAGCCCCGGCUAACUUCGUG
rnacentral:rRNA from 1 species